ACUCAAAGGAAUUGACGGGGGCCCGCACAAGCGGCGGAGCAUGUUGCUUAAUUCGAUGCAACGCGAAGAACCUUACCUAGGCUUGACAUGUGCGGAAAUCCUCCAGAGAUGGUGGGUCCGUAAGGGUCGCACACAGGUGGUGCAUGGUUGUCGUCAGCUCGUGUCGUGAGAUGUUGGGUUAAGUCCCGCAACGAGCGCAACCCUCGUUCCAUGUUGCCAGCGGAUUAUGCCGGGGACUCAUGGGAGACUGCCGGGGUCAACUCGGAGGAAGGUGGGGAUGACGUCAAAUCAUCAUGCCCCUUAUGUCUAGGGCUGCAAACAUGCUACAAUGGCCGGUACAAAGGGCUGCGAUACCGCGAGGUGGAGCGAAUCCCAAAAAGCCGGUCUCAGUUCGGAUUGGGGUCUGCAACUCGACCCCAUGAAGUUGGAGUCGCUAGUAAUCGCAGAUCAGCAACGCUGCGGUGAAUACGUUCCCGGGCCUUGUACACACCGCCCGU
rnacentral:rRNA from 1 species